rnacentral:rRNA from 1 species
UUCCCGGGCCUUGUACACACCGCCCGUCACACCACGAAAGUCGGCAAUACCCGAAGCCGGUGGCCUAACCCGUAAGGGAGGGAGCCGUCGAAGGUAGGGUCGAUGAUUGGAGUG